CCUCUGGUUUAAGCCGGUAUUGU
rnacentral:snRNA from 1 species